rnacentral:sRNA from 1 species
AUUCUGCCCAUGCGGGGAAGGAUGAGAAGCUUCGACUAAGGUUCGGCUCGAGCGUCAGCGAGAGAGUGUUGCCGCAGGCAACGACCCGAAGGGCGAAGCGCGCAGCGCUGAGUAAUCCUUCCCCCACCACCA